GAAUGAACGCUGGCGGCGCGCCUAAUACAUGCAAGUCGAGCGAGAAGACGUAGCAAUACGUUUGUAAAGCGGCGAACGGGUGAGGAAUACAUGGGUAACCUACCCUCGAGUGGGGAAUAACUAGCCGAAAGGUUAGCUAAUACCGCGUACGCUUCUUGGACUUCGGUUCAGGGAGGAAAGCGAUACCGUGGGUAUCGCGCUCUUGGAUGGGCUCAUGUCCUAUCAGCUUGUUGGGAGGUAACGGCUCACCAAGGCUUCGACGGGUAGCUGGUCUGAGAGGACGAUCAGCCACACUGGCACUGCGACACGGGCCAGACUCCUACGGGAGGCAGCAGUAAGGAAUAUUGCGCAAUGGGCGAAAGCCUGACGCAGCGACGCCGCGUGGGGGAUGAAGGUCUUCGGAUU
rnacentral:rRNA from 1 species